rnacentral:rRNA from 1 species
GAUGAACGCUGGCGGCGUGCCUAAUACAUGCAAGUCGAGCGAACAGAUGAGGAGCUUUCGCUUCUGCCGUUAGCGGCGGGCGGGUGAGUAACACGUGGAUAAGCUACCUAUAAGACGGGGAGAACUACGGGAAACCGGAGAUACUAAUAGAGAAUAUGUCGUACCGCUGGGUGCAAUGGUGAUUGAGGGUUUUGCUGUCUCUAUUAGAUGAAUCCGUGCUGCAUUGGCGAGUUGGUAAUGGAACGGCCUACCAAGGCAACGAUGCGUAGCCGACCUGAGAGGGUGAUCGGCCACACUGGAACUGAGACACGGUCCAGACUCCUACGGGAGGCAGCAGUAGGGAAUCUUCGGCAAUGGGCGAAAGCCUGACGGAGCCACACCGCGUGAGUGAUGAAGGUCUUCGGGUCGUAAAACUCUGUUAUUAGGGAAGAACAAAUGUGUGUGUAACUCCGGCCGUCUUGACGGUACCUAAACAGAAAGCACCGGCUAACUUCGUG